GAGUCAACGUAGCAAUACGUGGCACACGGCUCAGUAACACGUAGUCAACAUAACCGAAGGACGUGGAUAAACUCGGGAAACUGAGGCUAAACCGCGAUAGAUCAAGAUACCUGGAAUGGUUUUUGAUCAAAAUCUAUAUGGCCUUUGGAUUGGACUGCGUCCGAUCAGGCUGUUGGUGAGGUAAUGGCCCACCAAACCUGUAACCGGUACGGGCUCUGAGAGGAGGAGCCCGGAGAUGGGUACUGAGAAAAGGACCCAGGCCCUAUGGGGCGCAGCAGGCGCGAAACCUCUGCAAUAGGCGAAAGCCUGACAGGGUUACUCUGAGUGACUUUCGCUAAGAAAGUCUUUUGACACCUCUAAAAAUGGUGUAGAAUAAGGGGUGGGCAAGUCUGGUGUCAGCCGCCGCGGUAAUACCAGCACCCCGAGUGGUCGGGACGAUUAUUGGGCCUAAAGCAUCCGUAGCCGGUUUUACGAGUCCUCCGUUAAAUCCAGCUGCUUAACAGAUGGGCUGCGGAGGAUACUAUAACACUAGGAGGCAGGAGAGGCAAGCGGUACUCAGUGGGUAGGGGUAAAAUCCGUUGAUCCAUUGAAGACCACCAAUGGCGAAGGCGGCUUGCCAGAAUGCGCUCGACGGUGAGGGAUGAAAGCUGGGGGAGCAAACCGGAUUAGAUACCCGGGUAGUCCCAGCUGUAAACGAUGCAGACUCGGUGAUGGACUAGCUUUAUGCUAGUCCAGUGCCGCAGGGAAGCCGUUAAUCUGCCGCCUGGGUAGUACGGUCGCAAGACUGAA
rnacentral:rRNA from 1 species